GUAAAAACGCCUUAUGUCUUGUGCUCUUCAGUCUAUUUAUGUUUUCCAGUCUUAUAUGUUCCCUUCCCACUGCUGGCCUGCGCCUUGUCGUGGUGGCGAGUGGGCUUUAAACCAAGACAGGCCAUUCUUUUCUUUCACAGCUAUUUUCUUUGAUUUCUCCUCCAGGACACUGCUUAGGCCUAUGGGGAGGUGUACUCCAUGUACCUGCCUGCUGUCCUGGCAGGUCCUUGUGGGUGGAGGGCUGAAUAGAGAAUGGGAAACGCCAAGCCAGGGCUACAAACAGCAUGGUGGGACACUUGACUAAGAAUCCAUCUGUGCCGCCCAGUUGAUCACCGAGGACGAGGGCUUGGGUCGGCUGGCCCACACGGUGCAGGUCUUGGUGGACCUCGCGCCGACUGCUGCCAGCCACCGCCGCGCUAGCACUGCUCCAUCCUUCUCCUGGCUCCAUGUUGUCCACUGAUUUUGCUGUCAUCCAAAGGAUUUUUGAUGCAAGCUACUACAGGGAGCCAGUGGAGGUCCCGGAAGAGGGGAGUCACAUGGGAGAACUUCGGCCUGUGACUCCGUGGUGCAGCGGAGAGAGCGCACGACUCGAGGCCCUGGAGGUCUGAGUUCAAGUCCCGUAAGUAUGUCUCCGUCACUUUUUAUUUUAAGAAUUCUAAGGGAAGGG
ensembl:lncRNA